rnacentral:rRNA from 1 species
GGACGAACGCUGGCGGCGUGCUUAACACAUGCAAGUCGAACGGAAAGGCCCGCCACCUUGGUGGUGGGUACUCGAGUGGCGAACGGGUGAGUAACACGUGGGUGAUCUGCCCCGCACUGUGGGAUAAGCCUGGGAAACUGGGUCUAAUACCACAUACGACCAUGGCGUAGGGGUCAUGGUGGAAAGCUUUAUUGCGGUGUGGGAUGAGCCCGCGGCCUAUCAGCUUGUUGGUGGGGUAAUGGCCUACCAAGGCGGCGACGGGUAGCCGGCCUGAGAGGGUGGACGGCCACAUUGGGACUGAGACACGGCCCAGACUCCUACGGGAGGCAGCAGUGGGGAAUAUUGCACAAUGGGCGCAAGCCUGAUGCAGCGACGCCGCGUGGGGGAUGACGGCCUUCGGGUUGUAAACUCCUUUCGCCCGGGACGAAGCCCACCUGGUGGGUGACGGUACCGUGGAGAAGAAGCACCGGCUAACUAC